UACAGAGGCCUCGAGCGUUAGGCGGAAUCACUGGGCUUAAAGCGUGUGUAGGCGGACUUCUAAGUACCUUGUGAAAUCCCACGGCUUACCCGUGGAACGGCUGGGUAUACUGGUUGUCUUGAGCCACUUAGGGGCUACCGGAACAGAUGGUGGAGCGGUGAAAUGCGUAGAUAUCAUUUGGAACGCCAAUGGUGAAAACAGGUAGCUGGGAGUGUGCUGACGCUGAGACACGAAAGCCAGGGGAGCGAACGGG
rnacentral:rRNA from 1 species